UGGGGAAUUUUGGACAAUGGGGGCAACCCUGAUCCAGCAAUGCCGCGUGUGUGAAGAAGGCCUUCGGGUUGUAAAGCACUUUUGUCCGGAAAGAAAUCGCCCUGGCUAAUAUCCGGGGUGGAUGACGGUACUGGAAGAAUAAGCACCGGCUAACUACGUGCCAGCAGCCGCGGUAAUACGUAGGGUGCAAGCGUUAAUCGGAAUUACUGGGCGUAAAGCGUGCGCAGGCGGUUGUGCAAGACAGAUGUGAAAUCCCCGGGCUUAACCUGGGAAUGGCAUUUGUGACUGCACGGCUAGAGUGUGUCAGAGGGGGGUAGAAUUCCACGUGUAGCAGUGAAAUGCGUAGAUAUGUGGAGGAACACCGAUGGCGAAGGCAGCCCCCUGGGAUAACACUGACGCUCAUGCACGAAAGCGUGGGGAGCAAACAGGAUUAGAUACCCUGGUAGUCCACGCCCUAAANGAUGUCAACUAGUUGUCGGGUCUUAAUUGACUUGGU
rnacentral:rRNA from 1 species